AGCCCCUCUCAGGGUCGCACCUGGAGAGUUUCCAGUACUCUACCAGUCUCGGCUCCGGGAGGGACAGUCAAGCAGAGGCCUACUCAUUCCAUUCCUAGUUUGGGCAGUGGCUAGCGAGUGGAAGGCCAUCUGCUACAAGU
rnacentral:snoRNA from 1 species